rnacentral:tRNA from 2 species
CGCGGGGUGGAGGAACGGUACCUCAGCGGUCUCAUAAGCCGCGGAAGCGAGUUCGACUCUCGCCCCCGCAA